GCGCCGGUAGCUCAGUUGGAUAGAGCGUCAGCCUCCGGAGCUGAAGGUCGCGCGUUCGAAUCGCGCCCGGCGUACCA
rnacentral:tRNA from 1 species